GUAAAGGUCAUUGCAGGUGCUGGUUGAUCUGAGGGGUGCAUGUUUAUCUGUAGUGAUCUGCUUGUUAUGCUGAUGGAAAAGAUCCUGCAGGAAACUCUGACAGCAUCACAACAGAGACAUCAGAGCAUCAACAUAUAAAGCUUCAUACGACACCAAGCGACAGGAAGUGACAUCAGAGCUUUCAGUUACCUUCAGUUCUGCAGCAGAGAUAUAGCCACUGCUGUCUGCAUCAUAACAACGCCAGAUCUGUGAAGAGACAAGCGUGAGACUCAUCGUCAUACAACACGUUUGUGUGUUUCCAUAUGAAAGCAUGAGUGUGAACGUCUGACCCUCAUGAACUCCACACUGUUAUCCAGCGGCGUCUCUCUGCGAAACACCAGGAGAAAGUUUUCCUGCUCGGGCAGAAGAGCGGUGGCCAGCUGCAAAAAACACACACACAUCGUCUACAUUAAUCCCUUUUCUGCAGGUGCUGCUCAGAAACAUCAGCCUACAUGAACAGAAAUCAUCUCAUGUGUGUGGUUUUAAAGCUUCAAAUAUCACUACAGACUGGUUGAGAUAUACAAAUAUACUCCACAAGUUUUGGAUUCUUUUAAAAAUGUUAUUGCAUUAUAAAAUAAAAUAUAAAACCAAGUGAUAUAAAAGAUGAAAACAUUACUUUCACACUUUGUUGUCAUGUCUAUAGUUAAUGUGAUAUAACUUGACUUUAUAUAUAUAUCCACAAAAUAU